rnacentral:rRNA from 1 species
UUCUGGGAGCGGCGCAAGACGAACUACUGCGAAAGCAUUUGCCAAGAAUGUUUUCAUUAAUCAAGGACGAUAGUUAGAGGUUCGAAGGCGAUCAGAUACCGCCCUAGUUCUAACCGUAAACGAUGUCAACCAGCGAUCCGCAGGAGUUAUUCAUGACUCUGCGGGCAGCUUCCGGGAAACCAAAGUUUUUGGAUUCCGGGGGGAGUAUGGUUGCAAAGCUGAAACUUAAAGGAAUUGACGGAAGGGCACCACCAGGAGUGGACUGCGGCUUAAUUUGACUCAACGCGGGGAAACUCACCCGGCCCGGACACCGUAAGGAUUGACAGAUUGAGAGCUCUUUCUUGAUUCGGUGGGUGGUGGUGCAUGGCCGUUCUUAGUUGGUGGAGCGAUUUGUCUGGUUAAUUCCGAUAACGAACGAGACUCUAGCCUACUAAAUAGAAGGCAAAUUAUUCGUUUGCUGUACUUCUUAGAGGGACUAGGGGCGUCUAGCCUCACGAGAUUGAGCAAUAACAGGUCUGUGAUGCCCUUAGAUGUCCGGGGCCGCACGCGCGCUACACUGAAGGAUUCAACAAGUGUUAACCCUGGUCUGAGAAGAUCGGGUAACCUUAUGAAACUCCUUCGUGAUUGGGAUAGGGACUUGUAAUUAUUUCCCUUGAACGAGGAAUUCCUAGUAAGUGUGGGUCAUCAUCUCGCGUUGAUUACGUCCCUGCCCUUUGUACACACCGCCCCGUCGCUACUAUCGAGUGAUGAGUUAUCCAGAUUCUCGGACUGGCUCCUUGGCAGCUUCACGGCUGCCAUCGUGGCUCGGAAAGAGACUCUAGAUCACUUAUCGCGAGAA